rnacentral:rRNA from 1 species
UACGUAGGGUGCAGGCGUUAAUCGGAAUUACUGGGCGUAAAGCGUGCGCAGGCGGUCUAUUAAGACAGGUGUGAAAUCCCCGGGCUUAACCUGGGAACUGCGCUUGUAACUGGUAGGCUUGAGUGUGGCAGAGGGGGGUGGAAUUCCAGGUGUAGCAGUGAAAUGCGUAGAUAUCUGGAGGAACACCGAUGGCGAAGGCAGCCCCCUGGGCUAACACUGACGCUCAUGCACGAAAGCGUGGGGAGCAAACAGG